GUAACCGUAAGUCCCUGCUCUGUGUUGUCAAAAUAAGCUGAACACUCAAUAAGAGUUGAUUUCUUUCUCCCUGACCCCCUUUGCAGGGGUCCCCCAAAAGAAGCAAUUUUUAUUAAAGUUACCAGGCUGGGUGUGGUGGUUCAUGCCUGUAAUCCCAGCAUUUUGAGAGGCUGAGGCAGGAGGAUUGCUUGAGGCCAGGAGUUCGAGACCAGCCUGGGCAACAUACUAAGGCCUCAUCUCUAUUAAAAAUAAAAAUUAAAAAAAAAUUAGCCAGGCAUGGUGGCACGUGCCUGUGGUCCCAGCUACUCGGGAGGCUGAGGCAGGAGGAUCACUUGAGCCCAGGAGUUUGAGGCUGCAGUGAGCCGUGAUUGCACCAUUGCACUCCUGCCUGGGCAACAGAGUGAGACCCUAUCUCUAAAAAAAUAAAAAUAAGGCCGGGUGUGGUGGCUCAUGCCUGUAAUCCCAGCACUUUGGGAGGCCGAGGUGGGAGGAUCACUUGAGCUCAGGAGUUUGAGACCAGCCUGGCCAACAUGAGGAAACCCCAUCUCUAGUAAAAAUACAAAAAUCAGCCGGGCGUGGUGGCACACACCUGUAAUCCCAGCUACUCGGGAGGCUGAGGCAGGAGAAUCACUUGAACCCAGGAGGCGGAGGUUGCAGUGAGCCAAGAUGGCACCAUUGCACUCCAGCCUGGGAGACACAGUGAAACUCCAUCUCAAAAUAACUAACUAAAUAAAUAAAUAAAAAGGCUGGGUACAGUAGCUCAUGCCUGUAAUCCCAGCACUUUGGGAGGCCAAGGUGGGUGGAUCACCUGAGGUUCGAGACCAGCCUGGCCAACAUGGUGAAACCCCAUCUCUACUAAAAAUACAAAAUUAGCCGGGUGUGGCGGUGCAUGCCUGUGAUCCCAGCUACUUGGGAGGCUGGGGCGGGAGAAUCACUUGAACCUGGGAGGCGGAGGUUGCAGUGAGCCGAGAUCGCACCACUGCACUCCAGCCUGGGUGACAAGGGUGAAACUCUUUCUCAAAAUAAGAUAAAAAUAAAAAUGAAGUCACCAGCCCUCAGGGGUCUGUCAAGGCAACACACAAAAUCUCCAGUUACCUUCUGGUGGAUGACGUUUGGAGACACAUCGCGUCCGUCACAGGACACACUUCCGAUGGAUUUACAGCAACUCCUGGGGGUCACGAAGGUGUGUUCCAAGGCCACAUCUCCAACCUCACAGAGAGGACAGGAAGUGAUCAGUACCCCAACUAGCAAGAGUGGCCCGUUCAUUGGCCGAGGUUCUUGAGGAUAGAGUGGGAGGUGGGAGCGUCCCUCGUGCUGCCUUCAUUUUUCCUACCCUCAGCUCAGGGGUCUGUGCUAGAGGAAGACACACGAAGGCUACUGUGCCCCCACCACAAGAGAGGGAAACAGGGAGACGCGUGGGUCUGGAGCCAAGCGUAUCUCUCUGUACCCAUCGCACACGAAUUUGAAUCAUCUGCUCUUUGGAAUCGCCUACACCCUGCUGCACCCACGAUGUGGCUGUAACUCCAUUAAAGAAUUGAAUAUCAUCUUCCACGGAAUCUCUGUCUGCACAAAAGGGGCACAUUUAAUUUUCUGUUUUUUAAAUAAAGGUUUAAAAAAUCCUUUUGCAAAGCGAUGAUAGAGGCACGUGGUUCGAAAUUGACAUGCACAGGAGAACAGACCAUGAAAAGUCUCUCUCCCACCCCUUCCUCCCAGCCAAAAGUUUCCUCCCACUCCAUGCCAAUGACUGUUAACUGUUUCCUGUGUCCCCAAAGAGAUGUUCUUCUAUGUGUGUCAAAGCAAAGUAUAUUUUCACUAUUCUUCCUCUUUGGUUUAUGCUGCACUCAUUUUUCUGCGUCUGGCUGUUCUCGACAGGAGUAGCAG
rnacentral:lncRNA from 10 species